rnacentral:tRNA from 1 species
GCGGCCGUGCGGCCGGGGCCGGGCCCCGCCGCACCGGGCGGCGGGACCGGGCCGGUGGCUCGGCGGCCGGUGGUUCAGCGGCCGGUGCCGCCGUA